AUGAUAGCUUGCUAUCAGGCGUCGAGCGGCGGACGGGUGAGUAAUACUUAGGAAUCUACCUAGUAGUGGGGGAUAGCACGGGGAAACUCGUAUUAAUACCGCAUACGACCUACGGGAGAAAGGGGGCAGUUUACUGCUCUCGCUAUUAGAUGAGCCUAAGUCGGAUUAGCUAGAUGGUGGGGUAAAGGCCUACCAUGGCGACGAUCUGUAGCUGGUCUGAGAGGAUGAUCAGCCACACCGGGACUGAGACACGGCCCGGACUCCUACGGGAGGCAGCAGUGGGGAAUAUUGGACAAUGGGGGAAACCCUGAUCCAGCCAUGCCGCGUGUGUGAAGAAGGCCUUUUGGUUGUAAAGCACUUUAAGCAGUGAAGAAGACUCCGUGGUUAAUACCCACGGACGAUGACAUUAGCUGCAGAAUAAGCACCGGCUAACUCUGUGCCAGCAGCCGCGGUAAUACAGAGGGUGCAAGCGUUAAUCGGAAUUACUGGGCGUAAAGGGAGCGUAGGUGGCUCUAUAAGUCAGAUGUGAAAUCCCCGGGCUCAACCUGGGAACUGCAUCUGAAACUGUAGAGCUAGAGUAUGUGAGAGGAAGGUAGAAUUCCAGGUGUAGCGGUGAAAUGCGUAGAGAUCUGGAGGAAUACCGAUGGCGAAGGCAGCCUUCUGGCAUAAUACUGACACUGAGGCUCGAAAGCGUGGGUAGCAAACAGGAUUAGAUACCCUGGUAGUCCACGCCGUAAACGAUGUCUACUAGUCGUUGGGU
rnacentral:rRNA from 1 species